CCCUUAGAUGCUCUGGGCCGCACGCGCGCUACACUGGUCGAUGCAACGAGUUUCUUUCCUUGGCCGACAGGCCUGGGCAAUCUUUGAACAUCGAUCGUGAUCGGGAUAGAUUCUUGUAAUUUUUGAUCUUAAACGAGGAAUUCCUAGUAAACGCAAGUCAUCAGCUUGCAUUGAUUACGUCCCUGCCCUUUGUACACACCGCCCGUCGCACCUACCGAUUGAAUGGUCCGGUGAAAUCUCCGGACUGGCGUGAGUCGGAGCAAUCUGACAAACGCCGGAAAGUUGAUUAAACCUUACCAUUUAGAGGAAGGUGAAGUCGUGACA
rnacentral:rRNA from 1 species